rnacentral:lncRNA from 1 species
UUCUGGGUCGGACCAUUCAUUGGAGCUGCCAUUGCUGCAUUCUACCACCAGUAUAUUCUGAGAGCAGCGGCCAUUAAAGCUCUAGGAUCUUUCAGGAGCAAUGCCUAGGUUUUGGACGCUAGCUGGUGAUGGUGAUGGUGAUGGUUUCUGCAACAAGAAUAACAUCAAUGGUGGAGGAGUAUUAGUACAUGCAAAUCGGUCUCAAUCUCUUUCCAGUGUUUUUUCUCUUCUAUCUGCCCCCUCUCUCUCCCUCUCUCCCUCUCUCCCUCCCUUGGAACCAUGGAAUUGUAGAUAAAUUUGGCUUUUAUCUGGCCAUGUCUCUUUAAAUAUAUUUCAAGUGCUGUAUGUUGUCAUCUUUUUUCUUUUCCCUCCUCUCUCUCUCUCUUUCUACUUGGUGUAUUCAUAAUGAUGCUUCCACAUUAUUCUAGUAAAUGGCUAUGCUCCUCAAUCUCCAUCACCCCUUUCCUUUUUCCCUUCUUUUUCGCUUGGAAUGGUGUCAUCUUCAUGCUUCCAUCUUAAGGUAGCUCUACUCUAGGUCGUUUUAGUGGAAAGAAGGAUCACAAUAUUUUAGAUCGAAAUCAAGAUGAUACCAAGACAUAAAUUUUUAAAAAGUUGGAGGGCAAUAAUGACUUGUUUUUUAUUCAAGAACCCUAUCUGAUAAGAUCAACAACUCUUGUGAUAAAGCAUCUUUAAUUUUCUAAUGUACUAACUAGUCAAUGGGACUUUGUUAACUUUAAAAUGAUCUUCUACCAGACUAGAUAGCAAGAAGGAACUUUUCAUUAACCAUCACUUGAAUCCGAAAAAUUGCAUAACAAAAUCUUUGAUCAUGUUUCUUCAACUGUUUCCAUUAAAGAAUUCAUUCAAAAACUUCAGAUUACUCUUGCAUUGAAUUGAAGAACACUUCGAUCAACAAAAAAGUUUAGACAGGUGUCUCCUCACACUGCUCAUCAUACCUUCAGCCCUCUUUAUGACUAUGGACAUCAUUUUCACUAAGCAGCAAUACUUGUUUUAUUUUCCCAACUUUUUUAUUGCUUCAUUCUAAGCAUUCUUAUCCUCAAUCCAUUUAACUACUAUAUGAUCACCAGUUUAAUUAAUAUAGAAGUAGAAAGUGAAAGCCAAAAAUGAUGGUAGGGUUGGCUUUUGUGGUGGUGGAUUCUUGGCAGUGAGAUGAUGGAUUUGAUUCUUUAUUAGUAGUUGCCGAGAGGAAACAAUAAAGAAAAGAGAGGGGAAAAUGAAGAGAUUAUAAAAUAAGUAUUAGGUCAAUAAGGGCUUGGGAUUCCAUGGUCUAAUUAUCAACCUUAUCUCUGUCUUUAUUUUAUGACUUUAAGGGUCAUUUUGUAGGGCAGAGUAGGUGGAGAUAUAGCUGUUUGAUGCAUGACACACUUUUUGGCUUAAAUUAUGGGGGAGUUGAGAGGUGGGGUUUUUGCUAUUUGGGCUUACAUAAUGGGAGAGAGACGUUUUGGCUGAUUUCUAAUGCCCUAGUCUUCAUUCUCUGCAUUUUCUCAUUCCAUUGUACACGCCAUCUCUCUGUAGCUUCUUAAAGCUAAUAAAAGUAAUGUUAAGUUUUUUCUCAUUUUAAUUUUUCUAUAAUAUUUAUUUGUAUUGGGAAGUAGGCUGAAAAACAUAAGUUUGAUUUUCCUUUUUUUUUUUUUUAAAAAAAAAAAGAAAGAAAUCAAAAAAUUAUUUCUUCAAACAAGAUUGUAUCAAUAUUGUUGAUUUAGUAAAGGAUUACAUAAACAAUAAUGGAAGUUUGAUGACUUUGAUCCUGUCUUCAUUUGUUCUUUUUAUUAGAAUGUAUAUUGUUUAAAAUUUAAAAUUUCCAUAAUAAUCCAUUUAGAAAUAAUUUUGAAAGGGAUUAAGAGUCAGUUUAAUAGUAUUUUUUCCUCAAAACAUUUUUUAGUGAGUGUUUGAAAGGGAUUAAAAGUGUGUUUAAUAGUAUUUUUAUGAAAAUUAUCUAUAAAGUGUUUUUUCAAAAAAUAUUAUAAGUGAUUAUUCAAUACUAUAAGAGUAAGUAUGAUAUUGAUUCUAAAAAACAUUUCUAACUUUUCAAACACUUGAAUGAUAAAAAAUUUUAAAUAUUAAAAAUGUUAGAAACGCUUCUUGAAAUUACUGUCAAAUAGGCUUUAAGUGAUUUUCCAAAUUUUGAAAACUGUUUUUUAAAAUUUAUCAAAUACCUUUUUUUCGUUUUAAAAAAGAAAACACUUUUCAGACGAAACAUUUUUAGAAAUCAUUAUCAAACAGACUCUAAAAAUAUAUUGUGUUUAAUAAAAUUUUUGAAAAUCACUUUUAAAAUUUUUGAUAAUCAUGUAAAUACUUUUUAUCAUAUAACAAAUUACUAAAAAUGUUAUCAAAACACAUUUAAAAUUUACAUAUGAUUUUUCUUAAAAGCGUUUCUAAUAUGAUUAAAGUGUUAUAGAUUUUUCUUCAAACCAUUCCCAAAUGGGCUGUAGAUCGAAUGAAGAAGCCUUUGCUAAGUUUUGAUUUAAAAAAUAUCAUGAAUUCAGAAACAUAACAUAAGUAAAAUAAGAACAUGAUUUAAAAAGUAAUAAGAAAAGAUAUUUUCAUUCUUAAACAAUUCAUUUUCUUUUCAAACUAGUUACGAAGAUGGUUGAAAUUCUUUAACAAUCUCCCUAAUUAUAAAAAAAAAAAAAAGAAGGAAGAAAAGUGAUUCUAAGGGUUUUCAUGUAGGAGAGCCACAAUUAGAACUACACGAAUGUUAACUUGAUUAACCAUAGGAUUAAAUGUCUCAAUAAAGUCAAAACCAACAAGUUGAUUGUAGUCUUUGGCAACUAGUCUAGCCUUAUAUUGAAAGACAAAACCAUGAACAUUUCUUUUGAUUUUAAAGAUCCAUUUGCAACUUAUAAGCUUUCUAUUUAAAGGAGGAGAAAUUGGGGUCUAUAUGUUAUUCUUGUUGAGAGCAGUGAACUCUUCUUCCAUGGUUUGUUUCCAUUUCACAUUUGAUAAGGUUGCAGCAACAGUGGAUGGUUCUACAUCCUCAUUCAUAGAAGCAAUGGGAACUUUGGGUCUAAAAAUGCCUACCUUGGCCCAAGUAACCAUGAGAUGAGUAUUGGUAUGAGUAAGGCCACAUGAGGCCUGAUCAACUGGUGCAAGGGUUGAAGAAUGAGAUGGUAAGAAUUUAAAUUCAGGAAUAGAAGAUAAGAAGAUGUAUUAAGGGAAGAAUCAAUAGAACGGAUAGAUAGAGAUAGAAUUGAAGGUGGAAUAAGAGGAGGGGCAAAAGGUAGAAAGAAGACAGUUGGUUGUAGAUUAAUAGAUAGAAAAUGAGAUAAAGAGGGAAUGCUCUAAAACUGAAAAACAGUUUCAUUGAAAGUAACAUACUUGGAGAUAUAUACUCGACCAUUGGAGGUAAGACAUUUGUAGCCUUUAUGGGAAGGACUAUAACCAAGGAAAGCACGAGAGAGAGAUUUGUACUCAAGUUUGUGACUGUUGUAAGGUUGAAUGUAAGAGAAACAUUGACCACCAAAGAACUUGAACUCAAGAGUAGUUAGUUGAACUUUAAAGAGGACUUCUAAUGGACUUCCGUUGUUAAGAAUAGAAAUGGGAAGCUGAUUAAUGAUGUGAACAGUAGUAGUGAAAGUUGCAUCCUAAUAUUGAAUUGGGAAGUUGGCUUGAGCAACGAAAGAGAGACUUUUUCCAACAAUGUCUCCAUAUUUCCUUUCUGCAACACCAUUUUGUUCAAGGGUAUGGGAGCAUGAGAGUUGAUGAACAACUCCAAAAUUAUGAAAUGGUGAAGUAAGAGAAUGAAAUUCUCCACCCUAAUUUGUUCUAAGAGUUUUUAAUUUUCAAUUAGGAUGAAGUUUUGCUUGUGUUUUGAAAUUAUGAAAAUUUGAAUACACUUCAGAUUUAGCUUUAAGGAAGUAAAGCCAUGUGAAUCUUGAAUAAACAUCUAUAAAUCUCACAUAAUAUUGAAAACCAUUAUGAGAGGGUGAGAGCAAGGACCCAAACAUUUAAGUGAACAAACUCUAAUGGAGUGUUAUGAGCAAAAUUUGAAGUUGGAAAAAGUAACUUGUGGCUUUUGCCCAAUUGAUAAUUAAGCUAUAUAAAAUGAAAAAUUCUCAUUACUAGAAAAUUUUCUUUUGCAUUGAUUCAAGAGAAUUGUGACAAUCUUAUAACUUGGAUGACCAAGUCUUUGAUAAGCUAUGUAAAAUGAAAAAUUCUCAUUACUAGAAAAUUUUCUUUUACAUUGAUUCAAGAGAAUUUUGACAAUCUUAUCAGUUGGAUGACCAAGUCUUUGAUACCUAAGAUCAAGGUUAGACAUUGAGCUUUGAUUACAAUGAAUUGAAUUGAAAUUUGAACUAGAACAUAAGUUGGUUGUUUACUAUAAACCUUGGAGACUGAAGGGUGUUGGAGAACCGAUUUGUUGAAGAUGAAGCUAGAGUAUGAUGACACCUAGUUGGACUGGUGAAAGACUGACUUGAAGGAUAUGAGAGUCUUGGAAGAUGAAAUUGAUAAAGUCCAUUCUUAAGAGUUCCUUUGAGUACAAUGGCUCUAAUAACCACAUCCUUUACCAAAUAAAGAGAAUAGUGAAAUUCAAAGUAAACUCCAUUAUCCUUGGCAAAUUUUGAGACACUAAUGAGAUUUUUAGCUAUUUUUGGAACGUAAGAAGCUUCUUAAAAUGAAGAAUUUAAAAGAAUGAAGACUUGAAAAAAAUAGAAUGUCUAACAUGAGAAAUAACCAAACUCGUACCAUCACCCAUAUGCAGCUUAUUAGGGCCAUGAUAAUCAACUCCUACGCUUAGGUUGUUGAAUUCAUUUGUGACAUGAUUGUUACACCAGUGUCUAGAAACCAAGCCUCAUCAUCUUGAGUGUUUGGUGUUGUAGGCAUAGCUUGCAUUGCUAGAGGAUCCUAAGAUGGUAGUGCCAGUAUGUGAAUUUAAGGGGUAACCGGAAAUACCAGUAAAGAAUGGGUUAAAACAAUGGUAACAUUUGAGAACAGUGUGAUCCAUUUUCCUAUAGAGUUGACAUUGAGGCUUAUUAAUACUUCUAUCACCAUAUCCUCAACCUUUGCCUCAUGUACCACUAUGAAACUUGGUGCAUGAAUUACCAUGAAUUUGUGAGUUCUAUAAUGAAUUUCUCUAAUCAAGAUGAGUGAAUUCCUUUUAUGGAUUCUUAACAGGUGACCUCAGUUGUUGGGACGAUAUUAGAGGCAUUGGUAUUAUAGUGCUCAAGCCAUUUUUCAUGUGUAAGCAACAAUGCAAUUACAUGAGUCAGUUUGUGGACAUUCUUAUAUGUGAUUUGCUUAAUGAUGGAUUCAUAAUCAUGGCCUAAUCCAUCGGUAAUAGCUAGUAUCUAAUCUCUUAUGGAAAGAAUAUCACAAACCAAGGCAAAUGAAUCCAUAAUGGUCUUCAUUUUGUUCAAAUAAUCUCUCAUAGCUAAACUACCUUCUGUAAUUCAAAUAUGAAUUGCAUUAAAUGAGCUCGGUUUUGAGUCAAGGUAGCUCAAAUCUCAUGAGAAGUAGUGCAUCCAACCAAUUGGGAAGGAUACUUAUGGAAAUUGAGCCAAGAAGCCAAGAGACGGUCAACAUAUCUUAACAUUGCCACAAUUCAUAAUCUAGGUUGAGGACAGAAAAGGGUGCCUAAAGUAAAACCAUCAAACCCUAAUCACGAAUUACAACAUAGAUUUGUUGUUUUCUAAGAAGAAAGUUAUCCUCAUCAAGCUUCAUUGCAAUUGGCAAUGUGGUUGGAUUCAUCACUUGAAUCAACGAAGAUGAUGAACCAAAAAGUGUUGAUAUAAUCAUUUUAUUGAACAGUGAUAUCGGAGUGAAGUCUAAUAGCUCUGAUACCGUGAAGAGAAAUGAUAGCAUGAGAGAAAUCUGAGUUGCCCUUAUUUUAUUCCUUUUUGUGUUAUACUUGGUACAAAGAUAUUUUUAUAUACCUAUAAUCACACUAGCAUUAGUGUUUCUUAAAAUACAAAAAACAAACAAACAAAACAAAACAAAACAUGAUUAUGCAAAAAGAGACACUUUGCUACUUUAGCACCCUCAUUACACAGCUUUUAUGUAGGCGCAACCCACAAUUGGCAUGGUCUUCAGCGUCAAAUUCCUAAUCGCUACUAACUUCUACAUUUCUGUUUUCAUGAUCUUCAUUAAGUUCAGGAAGGUUAAGAAUUAGGGAACGAGACCUUUUCAAAGGACAUAAGAAGUAUGUACUCUCCUUUUCCAUCUUCUUCAGAAUGUAUAGGAAAAGGAUGUCACCAAGGGCCAAGAUCUAAGUGUUGUUGGUGAUUAAUGACACUUGGGUUAACCUUGCACAGAUGGAGUUGAAAAAAAUGGAGGAACAUGCGUCUUGGGAGGUGAAAUGGGAAACACAAGCUGGCUUGAAAGUGGGUAUGGUGCAGGGUGGUCUUGCUAUGGUUACCUACGGGGAAAUUCGAUUUCUCAUAGUGGGGUAACAAACAGAUAUGAACUCUCCAUCUACCCAAUAUAUAAACUUAAACAUGUCCUCCGGAUCGUUAAGGUUUCUUGAAUCUGCCAUGGAUGCAGAAAAAAUGGUACCCUCGGGAAUUUAGGAAAGAAAAAUAGGAAGUCAAGAACAAAUUGCAGAAAAUUUCCUAAUACCUAUUUUAUUGGUAAAAGCAAAACUUAAAAAGGUACCCUCCAGCCCUUAGAAGAAAUAGGAUUCCUCCAUUCCUCCAUUCCUCCAUUCACAUAGGGACGGGUCCACAUUUCCUAGUGGGAUUCUUUGAAAGCCCAUCAUAUUCACAUGGGCUUUGUUGAAAGGGUAUGGACCAUGGAAUCAUGGACUAAUGACACGAAAAGAACAGAGAAUCAUCUCUGUCCUCCCCUGUUUACACACACAGACAAGUCUUGUGAUUUGGGAGGUGGUGCUCUGGUAAAACAUGUGAAGCCCAAAGGGCCCAUUAACUCGGACAAGGAUCCUGUGCAAAUCAUAAAUGGGCCUUCCCACAUGAAGGAUAGGUCACCAUCUGAAUGAAAAAGCAAACAAGUGGAAUAUGAUAAGGAAGAAAGCGUGAGCAAGACACAUAAUUUUAAUGUAAAAUGUAGAGGAAAAGAAUUGCAUUGAUUUCAGGUUUGGCAUGCGCCUCCCCCUCUGCAAUAAUGUCCCCAAGGCAGGUGAGGAAAUACAUACACUCCAUUAUAAUAAUUACACUCAUCAAAUUUAUAUAUGUGUAUAUAUAUAUAUAUAUAUAGAGAGAGAGAGAGAGAGAGAGAGAAAGGGAGAUAUGCCCUUUGCUGAUCCUUGAAGCCAAGCAAAAGUGAAAACGCUUCAUGCUUCCAUUACUUAGAACCAUUAACAAAGGCAACAACACAUAAAAACAAGGCCGCUCUUCCAAUUCUGCACUCACUUAUUGAUGGGGAUAUAAUUUAACACGGCAAUGGAGAAUAGAAGACAUGAGUUUGAGGGCCAACAUAAUCAAUAAGCUUAUGAGGAGGAUUAAUCAUAAUAAGUGACAAUCAUACCUUGGUAACUUCAUCUCACUUCCUUCACUGCAGCUUUUUGCUUAACCAGGUGUCCCAUAUGGGAUUGAGCAAGUGCUAAAAAAUGAACCUUAGAAAGGGCAUUUUGGGGUGACCAACAUUGGCAGAGAACACAUUCCCAUCAUUUUGUUCCCUCUUGAAUUCAACUCCAAGGAACAAGCACUUCCCAAGGCAUUAUAAAAGCCAGUUCAAAGCCCCCAAAAUUUCAACACUCAAAAGCUCUUGCUUCUUUAGCCUCAAGUUAUUCAAAAGCAAAAGAAGUGAACAACAUGAAUCCAGCGGCUUCUUUCCUGCUCUUCUUUUCUCUUGCCCUUCUCUCCUUAGCUAGAGCUCAAGGAAGAGCACCCCAUGGGCUUGCUUAUGAGAACCCGAUGGCUUUCUCGCCAUCUGCAUUUGAUUUCUUCCAUCCGAACGGCCAAAAACCAAGCACCCAAAACCCUUGUGCUGCAUCAAACUGCUCACCAUUGCCUAUGGCAGCGCAGGUGGAAGCCAGUCUAGCGCAUCAAAGCAAAGCAUCAAGCAACCGGGUGGGAGCUGGAGGAAUUGCGGGCAUUGUGUUUGGGUUUGUGUUUGCUGUGCUUUUGGCAAUGGGUGUUUACUAUGUGGCGGUCACACGUCGAGCCAAUUUGACCCGAGCCAACUCUGUUCAGCCUGAUGCUUGAUUUACCUACUAUAAGCCACUGACAGCAAGCACCCAGGAUCAUUCCACAGUGAUAUGAUCUUCUUGUUCUCUUUUAUUUUUUGUAUUUUUCCCAAUUUGGGGUAAGAAAUGUUGUAUUUAUCAUCUUGUUACCAAUUAGCUACAUGGUAUUGUACUAUUAGAACUCUUGGCCAAAGCGAUUAUCAAACCAUCCAUCUUUAGGAGGGGAUAACAAAUGAAUUCUAUCACAGCCAUGGAGGGGGCAACAGGUUAUUGAGAUAAAACUACAUAUAUAUAUAUAUAUAAAAGGAAAUAAAGAUGUAAAAAGAAUCACAAGAGAAGAACAGACUUAAGUUCGAACAGUCAUGAUAAUCAUCAAUACUAAAAAUUGGAACAGAACUAAAGAUACCCAAUGCAGGAAAAGUCUCCUUUUGGAGCUUAUCUGGCAUUAUAAGUCAGCCAAACACUUCAAUAUGCCCUUUUUCCACCUUCUAAAUUGCAUCCACAACACAUGUUCUGAACAACAAGCCUUUUGUUCCGAAGCAUUUUAUUUUCUUCAUGUUUCUUGGACUACAUCACGAUCAUAGAGGUUUAAUGCAAACAAGGUCAGUAACUGAAAGUUCUGACAUUGAACCCCUAUAGAAGCAUUAUUAUUAAAGAGAGCUUCCAUUGUUAGAAUCCGAGGUUUUAUUCAUUUGUAACAGGCAUGACAUAAGGGGUUUUACUUCCUCCACAAUCCAUGAUAUAACAGAAUUAGAAAUUAAUCUCUUUAUGGUUAUAUCAAGGUGUCGAAUUUUGACCCAACAGUUUUUUAGUAGAGUUCCUUAAAGCAAGAAAGUUUAGAGAGCGCGCAAAAGGAUGGUGUAGAUAAAAAAGAGGCCCAACCAAGGGAUUUAUUUACUUCUAAGUCAGGCUGAACCAAAUUUUCCUAAUCAUAAUAUUUUUUGCAAAUACUUAAUUGGAAAAGAACACUAACUCAGGUUGAAAGCUAUCAUUGGUUAGUCCUAAACAGCCACAAGCCGGCUCUUAUCAAAAGGAGUCUCCCCAUUCAUACAUACAGUUCAACCAUGAACAUUUGAAAAGAAAAAUACAUGCCAAGAAAAGAAAAACCUAGGUGGAUCAUAUUUGCUGGGUUUGCAAAAUACGGCCAAAUUCUAAGGUUACAUACCAUAUAGAGAAAUUGCUAUCAUAUAAUCAUCAAGCAUCUUCCAGAGAUGGACAGAAAAACAGAAUGUGGGCUGUGUAUUAUGUGGGGUUAUUAUAAGGUGGCUGCUGUCUAAGGAUGAAUCCCUCAAAUAAUUCAGAAGAUUUAUAAGAUAAAAAUGGGGGAGCAAUUCACUUGUAUAAAGUAGAAAUAUAUUGGAAGUGAACUUAUUUGUACAUUUCUACCACCGAUACAAGCUAAGAGCUUCAGGUUGCAGGAAUAGAAAGGAAGUUCACAUAUCGGCAGUAAGAUUAUUCAAAACAUUUCUACCAUCCACGUGAACUAAGAGCUGCAAUGACAGGUCCCAGUGUCUUGUCCACAGUCUUGUUCCAUAGGUGGGCGAACUCCAAACGAGAUUUCUUUCCAAAUAUGGGCUCUGUUUUCUGGAAUAAGUUUGACAAAAAUAAAAACUAUUAGGCCAUGUUUUGACAAUGAGUAAUUCAAAGAAAAUGGAUCCAUGAGAAUGGAGAAGCUUAAAGAGACGUAAUGCUAUCAUAUGGUACACUCAAAGGGGGGAAAAAGUGUAUCUUCCAUUUGUUGACAAAGUAAAAGUCAAUGGCACCUGUUAUCAUGAGAAGUUAAAUCAAAACCGAUACAUAGAUCAAAAUUACACCUAUGUGCUAAUCCUCAGUUAAACACCACUACCAUAGAAUUUCAAUGCAAUCAAAUAUGAAUAAGGUACAGGCACAAAUAAUAAGUGCUGCACUUUGAUGCAGGUAUGGGGAUGCUCGACAUGGUUUACACCACAGAUUGUAGCAGGAAGGACUUUAUUCCCAUGCUCAUAUUUCAGCCCACCUAAAUUCCCCAAACCUCACUUGACCACAAGAUGCUUAAUUACAUGUACAAACCUGGGUCUUCCAGGGAUAUGUAGAUGCACAUACAUCCAGCUACCUUGUUGUCAUUCUUGCUCAUGAAAAGGUUGUCAAAUUUGAGAAAUUUGCAUUUUUAAAAGAUAAGAUAUUAGAUCCUCCUGGACAUAGUCCCUGGUGAUGUUCCACGAACUAGAUUGAGAAAGUAUGACUUCCUUUCUCAGAAAUGAACUCCUCACAAAAAUAGUUCUCAGUAACUCAUUUCUACAAUUCUUAAUCAAGAGGCUGUUGGUCAAAGCUGCAAGUUCUUCUGGCAGGUAAGAUACAGGCUGUGGGUCUAGUUCUGCAAAUCGGGAUGUGAUAAAGGGAAACUGAAAGAAUUUAGAAUGAUAAAUGAGGGCAUUUGUUAAGCAUCAUUUGAAGGAUGCAGCACAGCAAUGUGAUUAGUACAGAGAUUUGCAGCAGAAAAUGAAGAAAAGCAAAUGCCUUGAGAAACUCAACAGAAUAAGGUUUACACAAGACCACUCAUAUUUCACAAUCAAGGGCAACACAAGUAAAACAUUCCAGUGGGAUUCAUUAGGCAAAGCAAAGCCACCUGACCACCAGCAUGUCAAAGACUGCCCAGCCUUUUUAUUUUCUUGGUAAAUGUAGGCAAAGCACAUGGCUGAUCUUUCAACAGAAUUUCAUCUAAGUACUAGUAUCCACCAAGAGAACCCACUGCAUUUGGUAAAGUGGGCAACUGUGUCCUCAGCAAAACAGUAUGGAGUUUUGUUAAUUCAGAAUUUCCUAAUUCUGAAUAAGGCUUGGUUGGGUAAAUGGUUUUGAAGAUGGCAUUCUGAGGUGGGAAGGGGCAAUAGCCUCAGGUUUUUGGAAAGCUAUUCAAAGAGGGUGGGAAGAUUUUUUUUUCCCCCGACUUAUAUUCCUGUGGAUAAAAGGCCUAAGUUUUGGUGUGAUAUUUAGUGUGGGAGCACCAUAUUUAAAGAUCAUUUUUGGGAUCUUUUUUUCCAUCAAUUUAAACAAAAAUAUCCUGGUGGCAAAUUAUUGACAAAGGGAAGGUAGGAGUGACCAUAGGAAUCCAAGGUUCAUCAGGAGAUUUUAUGAUUGAAUUGAAAGAGGUGGAAUCCUUUUUUGUUUGUCUUCAGAAUGUGAUUAUGCAUGAAGAUAAGGAGGAUAAGUUAGCCUGGAAGUAAGCAAAAGAUGGAAGAUUUUUCCUGAAAUAAUUUCAUUACAUUUUAAGUGCAUAUUGUUAUAACUCUUUCCCACAUUGAAGGGUUUGACACCUCACUUGCAACCCCCAUAAAGUUGGUUUCUUUGAUUGAUAAGCAAUCUAGAAAAACAUUCUAACUUUGGACCAGAUUAUGCAACGGGAAGGGUUUUAGCCAAUUGUUGUCAUUUGUGCCAGCAGGAAGAAACUACUUGCCCAUCACAUAUUGGCACAGAGUUAUGGUCUUUAUUAUUCACAACUUUUGGCAUCACUUGGGCAUUUCUUGAGACAGAUAAGGAUACAUUAAUCAGUAGGUGCAGAGAGAUGGUGAGGAAAGGGAAAGGGAAGAUAUGUUUAUUUUGGUGUAAUUGGAAGGAAUACAAGAGGAGGGUCUUUGAUGGUUUGGAUUGUCUGAAAUUGCAGCUGAAAAAAGUCAGUAGGACAUGGAAGCCUUCUAUUAUAAAUUUGAUUGAUGUUUUGGGUAGUACUUUAAGAGUGAAGAGUCUGUUCCUUUUUCUUAUCUUUUGUCUUUAUGGUCUCUGUAUGCAUCAUGUGUACAUGGGGGGGUGUGUCUCCUUUUUGAUGCUUACUAUAUAAAAAUUUUACUUAUCAAUAAAAGAAAAAGUCUUACAGCUCAAGGGAGCAAACCAAACAGCUUUCUAAUCUUAUAAAUAAAAUAAUUCUCCAAUUAAGUCUCUCCAACAGUAAGCUUUUCAAUAUAUCAUUCAUGACCGUGUUUCUAACUUUUCAUAGAACCAAACAAUUAUAUAAGCCAUCCAAUAUAAUUUCUUUUGUUCCAUCACAAUUUAUAAUCAAAGGAAUAAAUGAAAAAAAAAAAGAUGUCAACUUCUCUAUGCUUUUUUCCCACACAAAUAGCACUGCCAAACAUGUAGAAAGAGGUGGAACCCUAAUAGUCAAGAAUAAACGGGACAGGACACAAUUCUUCUGCACUUUCUAAUUCAAUAUUUCUCGAGAACAAAUGCCUACCAAAAAAAAAA